rnacentral:rRNA from 1 species
GUAGGUGGCAAGCGUUGUCCGGAAUUAUUGGGCGUAAAGCGCGCGCAGGCGGUUCUUUAAGUCUGAUGUGAAAGCCCACGGCUCAACCGUGGAGGGUCAUUGGAAACUGGAGAACUUGAGUACAGAAGAGGAAAGCGGAAUUCCACGUGUGGCGGUGAAAUGCGUAGAGAUGUGGAGGAACACCAGUGGCGAAGGCGGCUUUCUGGUCUGUAACUGACGCUGAGGCGCGAAAGCGUGGGGAGCGAACAGGAUUAGAUACCCUGGUAGUCCACGCCGUGAACGAUGAGUGCUAAGUGUUAGGGGGUUUCCGCCCCUUAGUGCUGCAGCUAACGCAUUAAGCACUCCGCCUGGGAGUACGGCCGCAAGGCUG